UGUCAGGUUGAGACGCAGGGUGACCUCCGGGGCAGUGGGGGCGCCCACACGCAACACACCUGCCGCAGGAGAGUGUUCACGUGGCGUUAUUAUUAAUUCAUUCUUUACAUUUUUAAAAUAUGGGUUGAUACUAUUAAAUACAUAAGCCCCAUGUCUUAGCAGAAAAGCUCUCAAUUCCAGGCAGGUUUAUUAUAAGAAUAGGCAACCAAAUUUAUUUCAGACAUAAACGUUCCCCAGAUGAGGAAUUUUCUUCAUCAAGCGCCACCACAAGGUUGUCAUUUAUGGAUGUGGGUAAAUAUCUUAACAACUUUUAAAAGAAUUUACACAAAACGUUUCAUGUAGUCCCAUCAUCAAGUUUCAAUGUAUUCAUCACUUUGGUUUAGGACUAAAUACCCGCUUAGAUUAUGACCUUCCCAUUAGCACUAGCUUUACUUUGUUUUUGUUUUGUGCAAUACUGGAAUGCUAAUACUCACUAAAAAGGUGAAUAAUAUCAUAAAUAUUACUCUUAUAAGCAUUGUCAUUGUGAGCAUUUGGGGAUUUCGCUGAUGUCAGCCUGUGCGCAGCUUCAAAGAGCAGUUACCAUGGGUGCAGACUCAUAAUCUUACUCAAAGAUACUUUGGGGUCAGUUCACCUUGCUGCCAAAAAAACAAUUAACCCCCAUGUGGCCAAAGGUGUUAAGAAAAGAACUGAAAUAGAGUGCAUGCCUCUUUGUCUCGUCUCUCUGGGUCUAGAAGUUCAGGACAUCUCUCGUUAUAUCUUCAAUCAAAGCUGACAGUCAUACGGGUGCUUGGCUAAAAAUAGCCACACGGUAAAUAUUAACUGCCAUUUUUUAGAGCCUGAUCCGAACCAACGGGCUGCGAGUGCACCAAUGACGAGACUCUGACGGCGCGAGCUGCUCGGCCAAUGAGAGGGCCGACCAAACAACCCCUGCUCCUCUGUCACCUCUGGCCGAGCGAUCGUCAGCCCAAUGGCGCCCAACGUUUGUCCCGCAGAGACGCAGCUCCAUCAAAUCCUUACAGCUCAUUGCCGACAUUCAGGCAAUGCAGACGCUGUUUACCUCAAAAUUAAAAGUCACGUGAAGGUCGGAAGACAGGCAGCUUUGUGAAACAGCAUCAGGUAUUUUGAUCACACACAGAGGUCAAGCAGCCUUCCCGCCAAGGAGUCUUAUUCUAGGUAUCGUGUGAAUGUGUGAAUGUGCCUGUGUGUAGCACAGUAUCAAAAUACAGCUGGAUUAUCAGCAUAAAUAGAUCCCAUUUUCUUUCCUUCAAUAUGCAAAUAAUAUUUUGACUCAUUUAUGUAAAUAUUAUGCGAUUCUCCCCAACGUCAUGUCAGGAAGGAACGCAACAGUUUAUUUGGAUUUAGUAAUUCCUCAGGUGUGUUUGGCUCAGUUGCAAAUGAGCUGUAAGAGAUGAGUCCAAUUAUCCAAUUAAAAUAAUACACGAGUAACAUUCUGUUCAGACUGUGUAUAUACUGUACAUAUGCAUAUGCUUGUAUAGGCGACAGCUUACCGAGGAAGUAGUUUUGUCCGAGAGGCAGCGAGCGGUCCGGCACCACCAAUCCAUCGGGAGCCUGCAGGAACUGCAGUGUGGUGCCGUUCAAAAUGGAGGAGCGGAGGAAACCCUCUUCAUUCACACACCAAAGCACCGGAGCUCCACUGACAUUCACCACCACCCUUAGUUGGAGAGAGAUGAAGAGGCAGAGGGAGGGAGGGAGGAUGGCGAUCAAACAGGGAAGGAGAAUCAGAGAGAGAGAAAAUAGUUGAAGUUGAAGAUUCUCUGCAGUUUGGACCAAAGCACAAAUUUAUAGCGAAUGUCGAUGAUCCCUAUUUAAUUGGUUCUCAGCUGCUCUUUUAGCUGUCGUACUGCAGGUUUGCAGUAUUUAGGGUUUAAAUGAUGGAUGUUAUCAGGCAAGAUGCAUUGAAAGUAGUACGAAAUGUAACACAAACCGUUAAUAUUUUGUACAUUCAGACAACACUUGAUUAUCUUCCCGAACGUGCUGAAAUAAAACGUCAACAAAAUCAAUAUUAAAGUUGAAAUGAA